rnacentral:rRNA from 1 species
AAUUGCCAUUGAUACUGCUAUUCUUGAGUGCAGUCGAAGCGAGCGGAAUGUGUAGUGUAGCGGUGAAAUGCAUAGAUAUUACACAGAACACCGAUAGCGUAAGCAGCUCGCUAGGCUGUUACUGACGCUGAGGCACGAAAGCGUGGGUAUCGAACAGGAUUAGAUACCCUGGUAGUUCACGCUGUAAACGAUGAUCACUAGUUGUUGGCGAUAUAUUGUCAGCGACUGAGCGAAAGCGUUAAGUGAUCCACCUGGGAAGUACGUCCGCAAGGAUGAAACUCAAAGGAAUUGACGGGGGCUCGCACAACCGGUGGAACACGUGGUUCAAUUUGAUGCUACGCGAGGAACCUUACCUGGGCUUAAAUGCGGAACGACUCUUUGAGAAAUCGAAGUUCCCUUCGGGGCGUUUUACAAGGUGCUGCACGGCUGUCGUCAGCUCGUGCCAUGAGGUGUCGGGUUAAGUCCCUUAACGAGCGCAACCCCUAUUGUUAGUUGCCAGCGGGUAAUUCCGGGGACUCUAGCAAAACUGCCAGUGUAAGCUGGAGGAAGGUGGGGAUGACGUCAAGUCAGCAUGGCCCUUAUGUCCAGGGCUACACACGUGUUACAAUGGCCGGUACAAAGGGCAGCUACCACGCGAGUGGAUGCUAAUCUCUAAAGCCGGUCUUAGUUCGGAUCGGAGUCUGCAAUUCGACUUC